UGGAACAUUUAUUCACGUAUGCCAAUUUAUUGACUCGCGGCUGUCCUUUAAUUUAAUCCAUUUAAAAUUUUAGGACAAAUUAUUGUGGCUGUAUCAUUGCUAGACCGUGGUGAAUCAUACAAAGCACUGGUUCGACUCGCUGCUUAUCGAAAAGACGUUCAAAGGUCCACAAGAAUUGGCAAUAAUUUUAUAUGGUUGUGGUUUAUAUACAUACAUAUGUGCAUAAAUGAAUAAAUUCGCCUUGAGAACGCCGUAGUACGAUAAAUUAGCGGUUAGCGAUUUGCGGAUGUCGCCAUCUUUUUUAUUCUCUGCACCGUGCAAUUAGACUCUAGUUUAGUAGGAAUAAUAUUAUAUAAUUUUCCUUGAAUUUGUUUACAAGAGAAAGUUACGUACGUAAAUGGACUCGUACAUAUACAUACAUAUACAAAACUGUGAUCAUGCGGCAUAAAAAUACAUACAUAAAUAUGUAGAACUACAAGUAAAACUAACAUCAACAUUAUUCAAUGAUUACAAUCGAAAGUACUGGGAACAAUAAGCAAUGCAUUUUGCGAACCAUACAAACACUGGCAUGCGACAACUCCACUCAACAGACAGCGCAAACUCCAGGUGGCUUUAGGGACCAACACCAACUCAGCUGAUAACUAGAAAAAUUUCAAGUUAUGCAUAGUAUUGAUUUAUUUAACCAAGCGAUCUACUCUAAGAUCAGCGACCAACUAAUGCAAGAAUGAUGGAUUAAAUGAAUGCGACUUCCGUCAAAGUAUCAUAUUUCUAGCUAUGGCUGUAACGUAACAUGCGGUAAACAAGAAAGAGAACGCCGUAGUACGAUAAAUUCGCUCAUUAAUAACAUAACAAACCAAAAACAAUGCAACAACACAACAAUAAAAUCGAAACUAAUGUACUCGUAAACUUAUUUCGCGGGCUCAAUAGCUGAUUCUGUUAUAUUCACUGAGAGCGGGUUAACGGUUUGCGGAUGUCGCCAUCUUUUUUAUUCUCUGCACCGUGCAAUUAGACUCAAGUUUAGUAGGAAUAAUAUUGCAUAAUUUUCCUUGAAUUUGUUUACAAGAGAAGGUUAUGUACGAAGAUGGACUCGUAGGUAUACAUAUGUACAUAUACAAAAAUGUGAUCAUGAGGCAUAGAAAUAUGUAGAACUACAAGUAAAACUAACAUCAAUGAUUGCAAUCCAAAAUACUCGGAACAAUAACCAAUGCAUUUUGGUACGUCCCAAAUCAAGGACCUCAUAUCGAUACAGUAGCAAAUUUCAUGCAGGACAAAUCAUAUUCUCCGUUUAGCGAAUCAUACAAAUACUGACGUGCGACGACUCCCAUCAACAGACAGCGCCAACACCAACUCAGCUGAUAACUAGAAAAAUUUCAAGUUAUGUAUGUAGGUAUGUAUGUAUGUACAUACAUUGUGAGCUCCCAAAAUGUAACAUUGAUAAUGAUUAUUGAUAUGAAAUCGAAGCUGUAAAACGAAUUACUUAGUGUAAUAAGACAGGCGUAAUUAAUAAAAAAAAAUAAAACUAAAUGAAAAAAAAUA